rnacentral:rRNA from 1 species
UAAGACGGAAGGUGCAAGCGUUGCUCGGAAUCACUGGGCGUAAAGGGUGCGUAGGCGGCUUCUUAAGUCUGGUGUGAAAGCCCAGGGCUCAGCUCUGGAAGUGCACUAGAAACUGGGAAGCUUGAGUACCGGAGGGGAGAGUGGAAUUCCUGGUGUAGCGGUGAAAUGCGUAGAUAUCAGGAGGAAUACCGGUGGCGAAAGCGACUCUCUGGACGGUUACUGACGCUGAGGCACGAAAGCGUGGGGAGCAAACAGGAUUAGAUACCCUGGUAGUCCACGCCCUAAACGAUGAUGACUAGUUGUUGGAGGAGUUAAAUCCUUUAGUAACGCAGCUAACGCGUGAAGUCAUCCGCCUGGGGAGUACGGUCGCAAGAUUA